rnacentral:lncRNA from 1 species
CGUAGGUUUUGGGUGAGUGAUUCUAUGGUGAUUCUUGAUGGGGUGAGGAGGAGAAAAUUAUAAGAAAAAUCGUUUUUUUCAUUCAACGGCCUUGAACACAUUGAUGGAUUUUUUUUUUCAGCUGCCGCUUUGUGGAUGGACUUACUGUAGUUUCUUUCAGAGUACUAUUAGUCGGCGAACUUUCUACGCUGUUACGAUCAAGGAGGAAUACGAUCAUGAAUUUAUGGCCUCAAAAGGAAAAAUAGGGAAAAUUAAGUCAUUACAGAGGAAGAUCAUAACAAAAAUUCGGGCUUGCACCGAUCUACGCCCUUCUGUGUCGAUUGGACGUGGAAAUUGACCGCUCGCGAAAACCGAGUUGACAUAUUUAAAAAUAAAAGCGACGCAAGAGAUGGCCAAAAUUAAACGAGGACGGUUCUGUGUCUCCCAAUGGACCACUAGACAAGGUACGAAUUUCAGCAUUCUGAUACAUACUUCUUAACUAAAAUUUCACGUAAAAUACGACGCGCAUAACGAAAACUACCGAAAUCAACUCUUUCCAAAGAUAUUUAAUGAUUCUUGAUGCGUAAAUUCAAACCACCCGUUCAGACAACUUUCCUUUUAACAAUUUUAAUGCCAAUUUGGCUGACUUUCAUAAAACAUGGUAAACAGAUUGAAAUAAUCGAGCUACAAGCCAAAAAUAAAUGUUUCCACCCGUUGCACUGCAGUGUUGGCGGUCGAAACGUUUGUUUCCUGUAAUUUUUUUAGUAUUUCACAUCUCUACGUAGUUUGAAAUAUUAUUUGUUCAAUUUAUUUUUGGCUUGUAGUUUGAUUUUUUCAAUCUUUUUACCAUCUCCUUUUUACUCCGGCUGAAGUUUGUAACAUGUUCAUUCUGUUUGACACUGAUGGUCAUUGCCUUAAUUAGGACCACUUAGUAGGGUAAAAAUGGGAAUUUGAUUCAUGUUUCACUCAGACACACCUCUUAUGAAUUCAAUAUGAUGACUUAUGUACCUAUGUGUUCCCCACCCCCCGCCCCUUUUUAGAACUAGAACCUUUUUAGAACCCUUUAACUAGAGAUGACAGGUUUUAAAGCAUUUACUCUAAAAAAUUGAUUUAGAAUUAAAUAGGAUCAGCUGAAUUUUGCGUAAAAAAUUUCUAUUUUAAGGAAUAUUUUCUACAAGAUAAAAAUUCUGUUUUUUAGCGUGCUGUAGCAAUCUUAUAAAUGAAUGACAGUAAAAAAUACUGUUGACUUAUGUUAGUGUGAAUCCUUAAGUGUUGGAAAAUAACAUUUUUUUUUUU